CCGGCGAGCGGCGGACGGGUGAGUAAUGCCUGGGGAUCUGCCCAGUCGAGGGGGAUAACAGUUGGAAACGACUGCUAAUACCGCAUACGCCCUACGGGGGAAAGGAGGGGACCUUCGGGCCUUUCGCGAUUGGAUGAACCCAGGUGGGAUUAGCUAGUUGGUGGGGUAAUGGCUCACCAAGGCGACGAUCCCUAGCUGGUYWGAGAGGAUGAUCAGCCACACUGGAACUGAGACACGGUCCAGACUCCUACGGGAGGCAGCAGUGGGGAAUAUUGCACAAUGGGGGAAACCCUGAUGCAGCCAUGCCGCGUGUGUGAAGAAGGCCUUCGGGUUGUAAAGCACUUUCAGCGAGGAGGAAAGGUUGGCGCCUAAUACGUGUCAA
rnacentral:rRNA from 1 species